rnacentral:rRNA from 1 species
AGGACGAACGCUGGCGGCGUGCUUAACACAUGCAAGUCGAGCGGAAAGGCCCUUCGGGGUACUCGAGCGGCGAACGGGUGAGUAACACGUGAGCAACCUGCCCCUGGCUCUGGGAUAGCCUCCGGAAACGGGGAUUAAUACCGGACAUUCACUUCCUUCCGCAUGGUUGGUGGUGGAAAGUUUUUUCGGCCGGGGAGGGGCUCGCGGCCUAUCAGCUUGUUGGCGGGGUAACGGCCCACCAAGGCGACGACGGGUAGCCGGCCUGAGAGGGCGACCGGCCACACUGGGACUGAGACACGGCCCAGACUCCUACGGGAGGCAGCAGUGGGGAAUAUUGCGCAAUGGGCGGAAGCCUGACGCAGCGACGCCGCGUGGGGGAUGAAGGCCUUCGGGUUGUAAACCCCUUUCACCAGGAGCGAAUCAAGACGGUACCUGGGGAAGAAGCGCCGGCUAACUACGCGCCAGCAGCCGC